UCAAACGAGCGAGGUGAUGUUGUUGUGUCUAUUUUUAUGUAGUUUGUUUUAGAGAAGUUGCAUUGAUUUCUCUCGAUAUUGUUCUGUUUGUAGAGAAUUAGUCAAAGGCAGGCUUCAGUUAAGAUUGAUCUCAAAUUGGUCGAGCAAUGUGAACAUUGCAUAGUUGUAUGCCAUUUAGGGUUUUAUAAAUUUCAUAUAACUGGAGUUGCCUGAUGUCUCCGAAUAUGUUGAUCUCAUGAGGUAAUAAAUUUUACAACAUUAUACUUACUUACCAUACCAACGACAAAAAGUUAAAUCAUCCAUGUGUUCAGUAACUAAGUUCGUAAUCAUGCUGUCGAUUUCUUUCAUUUCUAUGUUGCGAGAUUUUUCUUGCAAUAGUUGAGGAAAUAUUUGGUUAUGCUUGAUUUUCGUUUUUCUUACGCCUUUGGUCAUCACAGUAAUAUAUAUUUUGUUGUAAUGCAUGGACAUUCAACUAUGAUAUCAAGUAACUCUUCGCUGAUUUGCCGAUGGAAUUGUUAAAUGUUGCCCGUAGCAAUGCACAGUGAGGGAGUCCUGGAUUAUGGGGUGUCCGGAUGGCCGGACUAUGACCUUUGGCCGGACUCCCGGACUAUGAAGAUACAAGAUUGAAGAUUUCGUCCCAUGUCCGGAUAGGACUUUCCUUGGCGUGGAAGGCAAGCUUGGCGAUUCGAUAUGAAGAUCUCCUUCCAUUGUAACCGACUCUGUGUAACCCUAGCCCUCCCCGGUGUCUAUAUAAAUCGGAGAGUUUUAGUCCGUAGGACGAACAACAAUCAUACCAUAGGCUAGCUUCUAGGGUUUAGCCUCUCUGAUCUCGUGGUAGAUCAACUCUUGUACUACCCAUAUCAUCAAUAUUAAUCAAGCAGGAGUAGGGUUUUACCUCCGUCGACAGGGCCCGAACCUGGGUAAAAACAUCGUGUCCCUUGUCUCCUGUUACCAUCCGCCUAGACGCACAGUUCGGGACCCCCUACUCGAGAUCCGCCGGUUUUGACACCGACAUUGGUGCUUUCAUUGAGAGUUCCUCUGUGUCGUCACCUUUAGGCCCGAUGGCUCCUUCGAUCAUCAACCACGACGAGGUCCAGGGUGAGACCUUUCUUCCCGGACAGAUCUUCGUAUUCGGCGGCUUCGCACUGCGGGCCAAUUCGCUUGGCCAUCUGGAGCAGAUCGAAAGCUACGCCUCUGGCCAUCAGGUCAGAUUUGGAAGCUUAAACUACACGGCCGACGUCCGCGGGGACUUGAUCUUCGACGGAUUCGAGCCACGGCCGAGCGCGUCGCACUGUCAUGACGUGCAUGAUCUAGCUCAGCCGCCAGACAGCGCUCAGAGCACCGCUCAGGCGUCCGCUCCGACCAUUAGCUCGGAGCCGACCGCGCCAAUCGGGGACGGACGGUUGGACGCCGCCCCGGAAGCCGCAAUCCCUACGGUGAUCGAGCCGAAUACCAGCCAGGUCCUUUGUGAGGCCUGUGACUCCAAGGCCGGACUCCGUUCCUGACUCCGGAUCUUCCACACCCCUUCGAUCGAGCCCAAUUAGGCUCCGAUCAUGGAGUUCACCGCCGCGGACGUCUUUCAGCACUCGCCCUUUGGCGACAUCCUGAAUUCACUAAAGUCUCUCUCCUUGUCAGGAGAGCCCUGGUCGGACUAUGGUCAGCAAUGUUGGGAUGCGAACGACGAAGAAAUUCGAAACCCACCCACCACCCACUCCGUAGCCACUGUCGACGAUCUAACCGACAUGCUCGACUUCGACUCCGAAGACAUCGACGGUAUGGACGCCGAUGAAGGAGACGACCAAGAACCAACACCUAUAGGGCACUGGAAAGCCACCUCAUCAUAUGACAUAUACAUGGUGGACACCCCUAAAGCAGGGAAUGGCGAUGAAAAAACGAAGGACGACCCCUCCAAGAAGCAACCUAAGCGCCAACGUCAGCAGCGCCGCUCUAAAUCACGCCAAUGCAAAAACGGUGAGUCCGGCACUGGAGACAACAACACCCCAGACAGUGCCGAAGACAACCCCCUCCAGCAGGAUUCAGCGCAGGAGGAUGGAGAAGCCAGCCCCCAUGAGAGAGCGGCAGACAGGGAGGUCGAGGACGACAAUUAUAUGCCUCCCUUCGAAGACGAGGCAACCCUCGGCGACGACGAAUUUGUCGUGCUAGAGGAUCCUGUCGAACAAGAGCGUUUCAAGCGCAGGCUUAUGGCCACAUAAUCCAGCAGCCAGAGGAAUCGGCCAGACAAUUCUGGACACGGUUCCUAACCAAGAAAAAUCAAAUAGUCGACUGUCCGGAUGCAGAGGCUCUUGCAGCCUUCAGGCACAACAUCCGAGACGAAUGGCUUCCCCGGCACCUAGGACAGGAAAAGCCGAAAUCUAUGGUAGCCCUCACGACACUCAUGACCCGCUUUUGCGCGGGAGAAGAUAGCUGGCUAGCUUGUAGCAAUAACAUAACCAAGAGCCCUGGCAACUCGGAUACCAAGGACAACAAUGGCAGGUCGCAUCGCAACAAGCACAAGCACCGCAUUAACGGCGACAAUACUGAGGAUACGGCAGUCAAUGCCGGAUUCAGAGGCUCUAAACCCGGUCAGCGGAAGAAGCCAUUCAAAAGAAACCCUCCGGGCCCAUCCAGUUUAGACCGGAUACUCGAUCGCUCGUGUCAGAUACACGGCACCCCCGAACAACCAGCCAAUCACACCAACAGAGAUUGUUGGGUGUUCAAGCAGGCAGGCAAGUUAAGUGCCAAAAAUAGAGACAAGGGGCUGCAUAGCGAUGACGAGGAGGAGCCCGGGCCGCAGAACAACAGAGGACAAAAGGGCUCCCCCCCACAUGUGCGGACGGUGAACAUGAUAUACGCAACCCAUAUCCCCAAAAGGGAGCGGAAGCGUCCUCUCAAGGAUGUCUAUGCGUUGGAGCCAGUCGCCCCAAAGUUCAACCCAUGGUCCUCCUGCCCGAUCACUUUUGAUCAAAGGGACCACCCCACUAGCAUUCGUCACGGCGGAUUUGCCGCAUUGGUCCUAGACCCAAUCAUUGACGGAUUUCACCUUACUAGAGUCCUCAUGGACGGCGACAGCAGCCUGAACCUGCUUUAUCAGGAUACAGUGCGAAAAAUGGGUUAGAUCCCUCAAGGAUUAAAUCCACAAAGACAACCUUUAAAGGCGUCAUACCAGGUGUAGAAGCCAGCUGUACAGGCUCAGUUACACUCGAAGUGGUCUUCGGAUCCCCAGAUAAUUUCCGAAGCGAAGAGUUAAUCUUCGACAUAGUCCCGUUCCGCAGUGGCUAUCACGCCCUGCUCGGACGAACCGCAUUCGCAAAAUUUAAUGUGGUGCCGCACUAUGCAUAUCUCAAGCUCAAGAUGCCAGGUUCUCGCGGAGUCAUUACGGUCAAUGGAAACACCGAACGCUCUCUCCGAACAGAGGAGCACAUGGCGGACCUGGCGGCGGAAGUACAAAGUAGCCUCUCAAGGCAAUUCUUCAAUCCGGCUGUUAAACAUCCGGACAACGUCAAGCGCGCCCGAAGUAACCUACAACAAAACCGGCUGGCACGUUCCGAGCAAGCAUAGCAGUGCUGCCCCAACCCCAACCCUCGCGAGAUUGUGAUAACGGUACCAUGCGUACAUAACUACACUCUGGAAAUACCAUGGGCAUAAGGGGAGGGGCACAACCACGGCAGGCCCAGAAUGCGGCUCAACCGCACUAGGGGCUCCAUAUUCUGUCGUUUCCUUUUUUAUAUAUAUACUUUCAGGACCCAACUAUUCGGAAGGCCUGUCUGGCAAUACACUCGCCGAACACACGAUGCAACAGCCAGGGAGAUAACAAGCCACGUCAAAUGUCCAGGUGGUCUCUAUAACGAGCUAAAUACAUGUUUUACUUAAAGUCUCACAGCUUGCCCCUGGAGAGGGACAUGUCAAAUAAUCCCAUCUCUUGCUUAUCGCACUAUUUGUAUCGUUCUGCUUUCAUAGCAGCCCUUUUUAAUAAACAGUACAUAGCUCUUAUCUAUUAUUGUAUUCAUUUAUUUUUAUACAAAUAUGUUCAGUCAUGACAUUAUGCAACCGUACACUUUGGUACGGCCAAUACACCAGGGGCUUAAGUACCCCAUAAUACGGUGUGCAAAGACCGAACACUCUCAUGAGUGCGGCACCCCAAACUUAUAGCACUAUAUGCAUCGGCUCUGAAUCAUGUCUUGGGUCAAUAGUUGGGUUUUCCCAGCUCCCAUGUUUUGGUACCUUACGUUCCGCAAUGUCGGCUAAGGUAGCGCUGGGAGAACUACUGCGUUUGUGCCCCAGUUGAGACGGGUUAACACCUCAGUAGAGAAAGCUAAAACCGACCGUCAUGAUAACGCGAGAGACCGGUCACUGUUCGAGAGGUUUUUCGAGUUCCUAAAGACUUAUGCCGCUUAGAGCGAGGAGCCGGAUUUAUCCGGCCUAGGCGUGGAUAGUGCCCUAAACUCGGUCUUCCGAAUACUAGGGGCUUCGCCGAAAUUUAAAAUUAUAGAAUUCUAUGGCUAAGUGAGAGUGAUAAAGCAUUAUAAGUCCAAUGGCCUGGUUCGUUGUGCUGAGCGCCUCCCUAGAUGGACCCAAGAAUGGGAACAAGAGCACUCAGGUUUAUCCUGAACACCCCAGCACUCGUGGCAUGGGGGUAGAAGCCGAUGACUUGCAUCUCUCAGAUUUUAUAAACGGCCGCACAGAAGUUAAUAUUUUAAAUUCAAAAGUGUUGCUUAGCGCAUAUGAACAAGUUUUCAGCACACAGGAUAAACACGAGCGAGUUUACUCAAAAAUUACAUCCCUGGUACAUUCAUUCGCUACAAGACGGGCACCCUUCAGGACGCCCUCAUAAUACAUCUCGCGCUUGCGAUGCUCCUUCCCCUCCGGUGGCCCAUCCUUCACCAGCUUCUCAGCAUCUAGCUUGCCCCAGUGCACUUUAGCACGGGCAAAAGCCCUACGGGCGCCCUCGAUACACCCGGAACGCUUGAUGACUUCAAGCCGUGGACAGGCAUCCACCAGCUGCCGCACCAACCCAAAGUAGCUCAAAGGCAUGACCUCACCAGGCCACGGCCGGCCUAUCAGGCCCUUCAUGGCCUGUUCGGCUGCCUUAUGAAGCUCGACCAGCUGCUUCCGCUGGUCGCUCAAGGACACCAGGUGUCCGGCCUCAGCAUACUGGGACCAGACCAUCUUCUCCGUCAAGUUCCCUUCCUCGGCCCGGUAGAAUGCGGCGGCAUCAGAUACACUGCGGGGCAGAUCUGCGAAUGCUCCUGGAGAACUCCGGAUGCGGGUAAGUAACAGGUAAUUUACUUUCACAUGCUUGCUUUGCAUAAAGAAUGCCUUACCCGCCGCAAUCUUUUUCAUCGCCUCAAUCUCCUGAAGGGCUUUUUGGGCUUCGGCCUUGGCAGAUUGGGCGCUUUCAAGUGCCGAGGCAAGCUCGGACUCUCGAGUCUUCGAGUCAAGCUCUAACCUCUCAUGUUUUUUUCACAAGAGCAUCGAGCUCUUGCCGCACCUUCGCCACAUGCGCCUCUCGCUUCUCUCGCUCUGAGCGCUCCAUGGCCGCAUUAUCUUCGGCCUUGGAAAGCGCUUCCUUUAGGGUUGCCACCUGGGUUGUGGCCCCUGCAAUAUUUACGUUGGUCCUGUCAUUAUUUGCAACCAGGUAUUUCUAUAUACAUUUACAUAAGGUAUUACAUACCUUCUUUGUCCUCGAGCUGCUUCUUGGCACGGCCGACCUCGAUCUUGGACCGCUCGAGGCUUUGCUUCAAUGCAUCAACCUCCGCAGUCAGUGCGACAGAGGUCAGCAGCGUAGCCUGCAUUCCCAUAUUGACAUAUUUAUGUUAGACCCCUGCGCAUAUCUUUUUUUAGAUCCUUAGUCCGUUUUUUCUUUCCGAACACCAAACUGAGCAUCAUGGGCUACUGUCUAUGCGGUAACAUUUUUAUAUGUUUUAAAUACAUACCUCAAAGCCUGUUAGCAGGCUGGUACAGGCUUCGGCCAGCCCGCUCUUGGCGGACUGAACCUUCUGAAUCACCGCAUGCAUAACAGUGCGGUGCUCCUCGUCGAUGGAGGCGCUGUUAAGCAUCUCCAGCAAAUUGUCUGGCGUCUCCGGUUGGACGGAGGCCGCCGGCGUCGUAGGCUUGCCCUUCUUACGAAGAGGCUGCCUGCCGGACUCCGGAACCACUGAUGGCUCCGGAGCGGUGUCCGGCCCAGGGCUGGACUUAGAUCCCUCUGGGCUUUAGCCCCUUUGGGCCUGGAGUCCGGGAGGUCGCCUUGCGGCGCCUCCAGGACCACCUCCUCCUGGUUUAGUCUCUUUUGGGACUCCACCUCGGCAUCGUCCAUGGGAAGAGGGGAGGAGGCCGUCGGAAGUGAAGCGCUAUUCACAUCCGACGAAUCCAGGGAGCCGCUCGACGAUUCUCCGAGCUGAGCCUUGGGCGGACUGCAUGAUUGAAUUCGGCGUCAGAAGGUAUCGUACAAUAGAGGAGCGCCAUAAGUUAUUCUAGUAUCCGGAUACUUACGAUUUUGCCAUGGGCUUGACCCUGGAUGGCCAUUCCUCCCCGCCGUCUUCGGCAUCGGAGGCGUAGUCCGGCAGAAGGGUCCUCCCCUUCUUGGACCCUCCGGCCUCCCCAGUUGGGGCGGCCUUCCUUUUCUUUCCUCCCCCCGCUGGAGGGGGAGAGGCUUCUUCUUCCUCCUCCUCGUCUUCAGAGGUGGAGGGCGCUUCGGGCUCGUCGGGCGAUGAAUCCGACACCACCAGGUGUCGGGAACUCUUUCGAGUCCCCGUGGCCUUCUUCUUGGCCUUCUUCUCCGGCACCACGUGGGGUGCCGGAACCAGCAGCUUCGUUAAACGGGCGUCCGCUGGGUCUUCGAGCAAAGGAGCCGGACAGUUGGUCUGUCCGGCCUUCUUCUGCCAGUCCUGUUAAAGGGAUGGGAGUUUAGAUCCCGCAUAGAGUCAAACUAUGGAAAACGAAUACCCCGUAAAGGGAAAAUUGAGCUUACCGCACUGGCUUGACGCUUUGUGCAGAAUCCGCGAUCCUCGGUGAUGGGAGGGUGGACCUCGGAGCUCUUGAAAAGCACCUUCCAGGCAUCUUCGUGCGUUGUGUCGAAGAGCCUGGACAAAGUUUGGUGCUGGGCCGGGUCGAAUUCCCACAAAUUAAAAGCCCGUCUUUGACUCUAGUGCAAGUGGGAGACUGAAGGAAAUAUGCCCUAUAGGCAAUAAUAAAGUUAUUAUUUAUUUCCUUAUAUCAUGAUAAAUGUUUAUUAUUCAUGCUAGAAUUGUAUUAACCGGAAACAUAAUACAUGUGUGAAUAUAUAGACAAACAGAGUGUCACUAGUAUGCCUCUACUUGACUAGCUUGUUAAUCAAAGAUGGUUAUGUUUCCUAACCAUAGACAAAAGAGUUGUUAUUUGAUUAACGGGAUCACAUCAUUAGUUGAAUUAUCUGAUUGACUUGACCCAUUCCGUUAGCUUAGCACUUGAUCGUUUAGUAUAUUGCUAUUGCUUUCUUCAUGACUUAUACAUGUUCCUGUAACUAUGAGAUUAUGCAACUCCCGUUUACCGGAGGAACACUUUGGGUGCUACCAAACGUCACAACGCAACUGCGUGAUUAUAAAGGAGUACUACAGGUGUCUCCAAAGGUACAUGUUGGGUUGGCGUAUUUCGAGAUUAGGUUUUGUCACUCCGAUUGUCGGAGAGGUAUCUCUGGGCCCUCUCGGCAAUGCACAUCACUAUAAGCCUUGCAAACAAUGUAGCUAAUGAGUUAGUUACGAGAUGAUGUAUUACGUAACGAGUAAAGAGACUUGCCGGUAACGAGAUUGAACUAGGUAUUGGAUACCGACGAUCGAAUCUCGGGCAAGUAACAUACCGAUGACAAAGGGAACAACGUAUGUUGUUAUGCGGUUUGACCGAUAAAGAUCUUCGUAGAAUAUGUAGGAACCAAUAUGGGCAUCCAGGUUCCGCUAUUGGUUAUUGACCGAGAAUAGUUCUAGGUCAUGUCUACAUAGUUCUCGAACCCGUAGGGUCCGCACGCUUAAAGUUACAAUGACAGUUUUAUUAUGAGUUUAAAAGUUUUGAUGUACCGAAGUUUGUUCGGAGUCCCGGAUGUGAUCACGGACAUGACGAGGAGUCUCGAAAUGAUCGAGACAUAAAUAUUGAUAUAUUGGAAGCCUAUGUUUGGACAUCGGAAUCGUUCCGGGUGAAAUCGGCAUUUUACCAGAGCACCGGGAGGUUACCGGAACCCCCCAGGGCGUUAUUGGGCCUACAUGGGCCUCAGGAGAGAAGAGGGAAGGAGGCAGGAGGGGGCCGCGCGCCCCUCCCCUUCCUAGUCUGAAUAGGACAAGGGAAGGGGGGCGGCACCCCCCUUUCCUUCCCCUCUUCCUCCUCUUUCCCCCCUUCUCCUAUUCCAACUAGGAAAGAAGGGAGUCCUACUCCCGGUGGGAGUAGGACUCCCCCCUUGGCGCGCCCUCCUUGGUCGGCCGCCUCCUCCCCCUGGCUCCUUUAUAUACGGGGGCGGGGGGCACCCCAUAGACACACAAGUUGAUCUACGGAUCGUUCCUUAGCCGUGUGCGGUGCCCCCCUCCAUCAUAUUCCACCUCGGUCAUAUCGUCGCGGAGUUUAGGCGAAGCCCUGCGCCGGUAGAACAUCAUCAUCGUCACCACGCGACGGAACUCAUCCCCGAAGCUUUGCUAGAUUGGAGCCCGGGGAUCGUCAUCGAGCUGAACGUGUGCUGAACACGGAGGUGCCGUACGUUCGAUGCUUGGAUCGGUCGAGUCGUGAGGACGUACGACUACAUCAACCGCGUUGUGAUAAUGCUUCCGCUUACGGUCUACGAGGGUACGUGGACAAUACUCUCCUCUCUCGUUGCUAUGCCAUCACCAUGAUCUUGCAUGUGCGUAGGAAAUUUUUUGAAAUUACUACGUUCCCCAACAGUGGCAUCCGAGCCUAGGUUUUAUGUGUUGAUGUUAUAUGCACGAGUAGAACACAAGUGAGUUGUAGGCGAUAUAAGUCAUACUGCUUACCAGCAUGUCAUACUUUGGUUCGGCGGUAUUGUUGGAUGAAGAGGCCCGGACCGACAUUACGCGUACGCUUACGCGAGACUGGUUUUACCGCCGUGCUAUGCACACAGGUGACUAGCGGGUGUCAGUUUCUCCAAUUUUAGUUGAACCGAGUGUGGCUACGCCCGGUCCUUGCGAAGGUUAAAACAGCACCAACUUGACAAACUAUCGUUGUGGUUUUGAUGCGUAGGUAAGAACGGUUCUUGCUCGGCCCAUAGCAGCCACGUAAAACUUGCAACAGCAAAGUAGAGGACGUCUAACUUGUUUUUGCAGGGCAUGUUGUGAUGUGAUAUGGUCAAGACGUGAUGAGAUAUAAGUUGUUGUAUAAGAUGAUCAUGUUUUGUUGAAGUUAUCGGCAACUGGCAAAAGCCUUAUGGUUGUCUCUCUAUUGCAUAAGAUGCAAGCGCCAAAUAAUUGCUUUACUUUAUCGCUAUGCGAUAGCAAUAGUUGCAAGAGCAAUUGUUGGCGAGACGACCAUGUGACGACACAUUGAUAUAGAUCAAGAUGAUGGAGAUCAUGGUGUCAUGCCGGUGACGAUGGAAAUCAUGACGAUGCUUUGGAGAUGGAGAUCAAAGGCACAAGAUGAUGAUGGCCAUAUGAUGUCACAUAUUUUGAUUGCAUGUGAUGUUUAUCUUUUAUACAUCUUAUUUUGCUUAGUUCGACGGUAGCUUUAUAAGAUGAUCUCUCACUAAAUUUCAAGAUAAAAGUGUUCUCCCUGAGUAUGCACCAUUGCCAAAGUUCAUCGUGCCCAGACACCACGUGAUGAUCGGGUGUGAUAAGCUCUACGUCCAUCUAUAACGGGUGCAAGCCAGUUUUGCACACGCAGAAUACUCAGGUUGAACUUGACGAGCCUAGCAUAUGCAGAUAUGGCCUCGGAACACGGAGACCGAAAGGUCGAGCGUGAAUCAUAUAGUAGAUAUGAUCAACAUAAUGGUGUUCACCAUUGAAAACUACUCCAUCUCACGUGAUGAUCGGUUAUGAUUUAGUUGAUUUGGAUCACGUGAUCACUUAGAGGAUUGGAGGGAUGUCUAUCUAAGUGGGAGUCCUUAAGUAAUAUGAUUAAUUGAACUUUAAUUUAUCAUGAACUUAGUCCUGGUAGUAUUUUGCAAAUUAUGUUGUAGAUUAAUAGCUUGCGUUGUUGCUUUCGUAUGUUUAUUUUGAUAUGUUCCUAGAGAAAAUUGUGUUGAAAGAUGUUAGUAGCAAUGAUGCGGAUUGGAUCCGUGAUCUGAGGUUUAUCCUCAUUGCUGCACAGAAAAAUUAUGUCCUUAAUGCACCGCUAGGUGACAGACCUAUUGCAGGAGCAGAUGCAGACGUUAUGAACGUUUGGCUAGCUCAGUAUGAUGACUACUUGAUAGUUUUGUGCACCAUGCUUUAUGGCUUAGAAUCGGGACUUCAAAGACGUUUUGAACGUCAUGGAGCAUAUGAGAUGUUCCAGGAAUUGAAGUUAAUAUUUCAAGCAAAUACCCGAGUUGAGAGAUAUGAAGUCUCCAACAAGUUCUAUGGCUAAAAGAUGGAGGAGAAUCGCUCAACUAGUGAGCAUGUGCUCAGAUUGUUUGGGUACUACAAUCGCUUGAAUCAAGUGGGAGUUAAUCUUCCAGAUAAGAUAGUGAUUGACAGAGUUCUCUAGUCACCAUCACCAAGUUAGUAGAACUUUGUGAUGAACUAUAGUAUGCAAGUGAUGACGAAAAUGAUUCCCAAGCUCUUUGUGAUGUUGAAAUCGACGAAGGUAGAAAUCAAGAAAGAGCAUCAAGUGUUGAUGAUUGACAAGACCACUAGUUUCAAGAGAAUGGCAAAGGGAAAGAAAGGGAACUUCAAGUAGAAUGACAAGCAAGUUGUCACUCCCGCGAAGAAGCCCAAAGCUGAACCUAAAGCCUGAAACUGAGUGCUUCUACUACAAAGGAAAUGGUCACUGGAAGUGGAACUACUCCAAAUAUUUGGUGGAUAAGAAGGAUGGCAAAGUGAACAAGGGUAUAUUUGAUAUACAGGUUAUUGAUGUGUGCUUUACUAGUGUUUAUAGUAGCCCCUGAGUAUUUGAUACUUGUUCGGUUGCUAAGAUUAGUAACUCGAAACAGGAGUUACAUAAUAAACAAAGACUAGUUGAAGGGGAAGUGAUGAUGAGUGUUGGAAGUUGUUCCAAGAUUGAUAUGAUCAUCAUCGCACACUCCCUAUACUUUCGGGAUUAGUGUUAAACCUAAAUAAAUGUUAUUUGGCGUUUGCGUUGAGCAUGAAUAUGAUUUGAUCAUGUUUAUUACAAUACAGUUAUUCAUUUAAAAUCAGAGAAUAAUUGUUGUUCUGUUUAAAUGAAUAAAACCUUCAAUGGUCAUACACCCAAUGAAAAUAGUUUGUUGGAUCUCAAUCGUAGUGAUACACAUAUUCAUAAUAUUGAUGCCAAAAGAUGCAAAGUUAAUAAUGAUAGUGCAACUUAUUUGUGGCACUGCCGUUUGGGUCAUAUCGGUGUAAAGCGCAUGAAGAAACUCCAUGCUGAUGGGUUUUUAGAAUCACUUGAUUAUGAAUCAUUUGAUGCUUGCGAACCGUGCCUUUUGGGCAAGAUGACUGAAACUCCGUUGUUCGGAACAAUGGAACGAGAUACUGACUUGUUGGAAAUAAUACAUACCGAUGUAUGCGAUCCAAUGAGUGUUGAUGCUCGUGGUAGGUAUCGUUAUUUUUUGACCUUCACAAGAUGAUUUGAGCAGAUAUGAGUAUAUCUACUUAAUGAAGCACAAGUCUGAAACAUUUGAAAAGUUCAAAGAAUUUCAGAGUGAAGUGGAGAAUCAUCAUAACAAGAAAAUAAAGUUUCUACGAUCUGAUCGUGGAGGAGAAUAUUUGAGUUACGAGUUUGGCCUUCAUAUAAAACAAUGUGGAAUAGUUUCACAGCUCACGCCACAUGGAACACCAUAACGUAAUGGUGUGUCCGAACGUCAUAACCGCACUUUAUUUGAUAUGGUGCGAUCAAUGAUGUCUCUUACCGAUUUACCAAUAUCGUUUUGGGGUUAUGCAUUAGAGACAGCUGCAUUCACGUUAAAUAGGGCACCAUUAAAUCCGUUGAGACGACACCGUAUGAACUAUGGUUUAGCAGUAAACCUAAGCCGUCGUUUCUUAAAGUUUGGAGUUGUGAUGCUUAUGUGAAAAAGGUUUUCAACCUGAUAAGCUCGAACCCAAAUCGGAAAAGUGCGUCUUCAUAGAAUACCCAAAGAAAACUGUUGGGUACUCCUUCUAUCACAGAUCCAAAGGCAAAACAUUCGUUGCUAAGAAUGGAUCCUUUCUAGAGAAGGAGUUUCUCUCGAAAGAAGUGAGUGGGAGGAAAGUAGAGCUUAAUAAGGUAAUUUGUACCUUCUCCUGAAUUGGAAACUAGUUCAUCACUGAAAUCAGUUCCAAUGAUGCCUACACCAAUUAGUGAGGAAGCUAAUGAUGAUGAUCAUGAAACUUCAAGAUCAAGUUACUACCAAAACCUCAUAGGUCAACCAGAGUAAGAUCCGCACCAGAGUGGUACGGUAAUCCUAUUCUAGAAGUCAUGUUACUAGACCAUGACGAACCUACGAACUAUGAGGAAGCGAUGAUGAGCCCAGAUUCCGCAAAAUGGUUUGAGGCCAUGAAAUCUGAGAUAUGAUCCAUGUAUGAGAACAAAGUAUGGACGUUGAUGGAUUUGCCCGAUGAUCGGCAAACCAUAGAAAAUAAAUGGAUCUUCAAGAGGAAAACGGACGUUGAUAAUAGUGUUACUAUCUACAAAGCUCGACUUGUCGCAAAAAGGUUUUCGACAAGUUCAAGGUGUUGAAUAUGAUGAGAUUUUCUCACUCGUAUCGAUGCUUAAGUCUGUCUGAAUCAUGUUAGCAAUUGCCACAUUUUAUGAAAUCUGGCAAAUGGAUGUCAAAACUGCAUUCCUUAAUGGUUUUCUUAAAGGAGAGUUGUAUAUGAUACAACCAGAAGUUUUUGUCGAUCCCAAAGGUGCUAACAAAAUGUGCAAGCUCCAGCGAUCCAUCAAUGGACUGGUGCAAGCAUCUCAGAGUUGGAAUAUACGCUUUGAUAAGUUGAUCAAAGCAUAUAGUUUUGUACAGACUUACGGUGAAGCCUGUAUUUACAAGAAAGUGAGUGGGAGCACUACAGAAUUUCUGAUAAGUAUAUGUGAAUGACAUAUUGUUGAUCGGAAAUAAUGUAGAAUUAUUCUGCAAAGCAUAAAGGAGUGUUUGAAAGGAGUUCUUUCAAAGAAAGACCUCGGUGAAGCUGCUUACAUAUUGAGCAUCAAGAUCUAUUGAGAUAGAUCAAGACGCUUGAUAAGUUUUUUCAAUGAGUACAUACCUUGACAAGAUUUUGAAGUAGUUCAAAAUGGAACAGUCAAAGAAAGAGUUCUUGCCUGUGUUACAAGGUGUGAAAUUGAGUAAGACUAAAAACCCGACCACGGCAGAAGAUAGAAAGAGAAUGAAAGUCAUUCCCUAUGCCUUGGCCAUAGGUUCUAUAAAGUAUGCCAUGCUGUGUACCAGAUCUAUUGUAUACCCUACACUGAGUUUGGCAAGGGAGUACAAUAGUGAUCUAGGAGUAGAUCACUAGACAGCGGUCAAAAUUAUCCUUAGUGGAAUAAGGAUAUGUUUCUCGAUUAUGGAAGUGACAAAAGGUUCGUCGUAAAGGGUUACGUCGAUGCAAGUUUUGACACCGAUCUGGAUGACUCUAAGUCUCGAUCUAGAUACAUAUUGAAAGUGGGAGCAAUUAGCUAGAGUAGCUCCGUGCAGAGCAUUGUAGACAUAGAACAUUGCAAAAUACAUAACGGAUUUGAAUGUGAAAGACCCGUUGACUAAGAUUCUCUCACAAGCAAAACAUGAUCACACCUUAGUACUCUUUGGGUGUUAAUCACAUAGCAAUGUGAACUAGAUUACUGAAUCUAGUAAACCCUUUGGGUGUUGGUCACAUGGUGAUGUGAACUAUGGGUGUUAAUCACAUGAUGAUGUGAACUAUCGAUGUUAAUCACAUGGUGAUGUGAUCUAGAUUAUUGACUCUAGUGCAAGUGGGAGACUAAAGGAAAUAUGCCCUAGAGGCAAUAAUAAAGUUAUUAUUUAUUUCCUUAUAUCAUGAUAAAUGUUUAUUAUUCAUGCUAGAAUUGUAUUAACCGGAAACAUAAUACAUGUGUGAAUAUAUAGACAAACAGAGUGUCACUAGUAUGCCUCUACUUGACUAGCUUGUUAAUCAAAGAUGGUUAUGUUUCCUAACCAUAGACAAAAGAGUUGUUAUUUGAUUAACGGGAUCACAUCAUUAGUUGAAUUAUCUGAUUGACUUGACCCAUUCCGUUAGCUUAGCACUUGAUCGUUUAGUAUAUUGUUAUUGCUUUCUUCAUGACUUAUACAUGUUCCUGUAACUAUGAGAUUAUGCAACUCCCGUUUACCGGAGGAACACUUUGGGUGCUACCAAACGUCACAACGUAACUGCGUGAUUAUAAAGGAGUACUAAAGGUGUCUCCAAAGGUACAUGUUGGGUUGGCGUAUUUCGAGAUUAGGUUUUGUCACUCCGAUUGUCGGAGAGGUAUCUCUGGGCCCUCUCGGUAAUGCACAUCACUAUAAGCCUUGCAAGCAAUGUAGCUAAUGAGUUAGUUACGAGAUGAUGUAUUACGUAACGAGUAAAGAGACUUGCCGGUAACGAGAUUGAACUAGGUAUUGGAUACCGACGAUCGAAUCUCGGGCAAGUAACAUACCGAUGACAAAAGGAACAACGUAUGUUGUUAUGCAGUUUGACCGAUAAAGAUCUUCGUAGAAUAUGUAGGAACCAAUAUGGGCAUCCAGGUUCCGCUAUUGGUUAUUGACCGAGAAUAGUUCUAGGUCAUGUCUACAUAGUUCUCGAACCCGUAGGGUCCGCACGCUUAAAGUUACGAUGACAGUUUUAUUAUGAGUUUAUAAGUUUUGAUGUACCGAAGUUUGUUCGGAGUCCCGGAUGUGAUCACGGACAUGACGAGGAGUCUCGAAAUGGUCGAGACAUAAAGAUUGAUAUAUUGGAAGCCUAUGUUUGUACAUCAGAAUCGUUCCGGGUGAAAUCGGCAUUUUACCGGAGCACCGGGAGGUUACCGGAACCACCCGGGGGGUUAUUGGGACUACAUGGGCCUCGGGAGAGAAGAGGGAAGGAGGCAGGAGGGGGCCGCGCGCCCCUCCCCUUCCUAGUCUGAAUAGGACAAGGGAAGGGGGGCGGCGCCCCCCCUUUCCUUCCCCUCUUCCUCCUCUUUCCCCCCUUCUCCUAUUCCAACUAGGAAAGAAGGGAGUCCUACUCCCGGUGGGAGUAGGACUCCCCCCUUGGCACGCCCUCCUUGGCCGGCCACCUCCUCCCCCCUGGCUCCUUUAUAUACGGGUGCGGGGGGCACCCCAUAGACACACAAGUUGAUCUACGGAUCGUUCCUUAGCCGUGUGCGGUGCCCCCUCCACCAUAUUCCACCUCGGUCAUAUCGUCGCGGAGUUUAGGCGAAGCCCUGCGCCGGUAGAACAUCAUCAUCAUCACCACGCCGUCGUUCUGACGGAACUCAUCCCCGAAGCUUUGCUGGAUCGGAGCCCGGGGAUCGUCAUCGAGCUGAACGUGUGCUGAACACGGAGGUGUCGUACGUUCGGUGCUUGGAUCGGUCGAGUCGUGAAGACGUACGACUACAUCAACCGCGUUGUGAUAACUCUUCCGCUUACGGUCUACGAGGGUACGUGGACAAUACUCUCCUCUCUCGUUGCUAUGCCAUCACCAUAAUCUUGCAUGUGCGUAGGAAUUUUUUUGAAAUUACUACGCUACCCAACAGUUUGGAGUCCGGUCACCUCUGCCGAAUUACCCCACGACAGGCCCGCCUCUUUCCAUGAGGUAAGCCGUGUGGGGAUGCCAGAUCGGAAUUCGGGGGCCGCUGCCCAUUCAGGGUCGCGCGGCUCGGUGAUGUAGAACCACCCCGAUUGCCACCCUUUGAUGGUUUCCACAAAGGCGCCCUCAAGCCAUGUAACGUUGGCUAUCUUGCCCACCAUGGCGCCUCCGCACUCCGCUUGUCGGCCGCCCACAACCUUCGGCUUGACAUUGAAGGUCUUCAGCCAUAAGCCGAAGUGGGGUUGGAUGCGGAGAAAGACCUCACAUACGACGAUGAACGCCGAUAUGUUGAGGAUGAAGUUCGGGGCCAGAUCGUGGAAGUCCAGGCCGUAGUAGAACAUGAGCCCCCGGACGAACGGGUGAAGAGGAAAGCCCAGUCCACGGAGGAAAUGGGGGAGAAAUACGACCCUCUCAUGGGGCCUAGGGGUGGGGAUGAGUUGCCCCUUAUCUGGAAGCCGGUGCGUGAUGUCGUCAGACAAGUAUCCGGCCUUCCUUAACUUUUUGAUGUGCCCCUCCGUGACGGUGGAGGCCAUCCAUCUACCUUCCGCUCCGGACAUGAUUGGAGAAGGUUGAGGUGGGAAGUGCGGACUUGGGCGCUGGAGCUCGAGUGCGUAGGAAUAGAUAAGCAAAGGAGGAAGAAGGCGUAAAUGGAAAGAAUGGAUCCUUAUCCCCUUAUAUGGGCGGCCAAAGCUAUGAGCCCCCACCAGCCUAAUAAAACUCGCUUAUCUCCCAAGCGUCGCGGUUAAUGGCGCGGUUGGGUUACCCACGCCCGUAUUGAUGAGAAUCCCGGAAUAAGGGGACACGAUCUCUGCUUUGACAAGACGUGCCGAGGAAACCGCCUCGCUAAACGCGCUGAGGUGGAACAGUAAAACGAUUUGAAUAAAGGCUUGGCCGUGGCAUGAUGCCACGCUGCGGAAUACGUCAGCAGAUUAGAUUUGUGCAAAUAUUAUUCUCUCUAUGGUGGUAUGUGGAACUUAUUUUGCAGAGCCGGCCACUAUCCUUGUGUUCAACAUCUUCUAUGAAAUAUUCGGAGGAGGAACCCGCCUUGCAAUGCCGAAGACAAUUUGCGUGCCGGACUCGUCGUCAUUGAAGCCUGGUUCAGGGGCUACUGAGGGAGUCCUGGAUUAGGGGGUGUCCGGAUGGCCGGACUAUGACCUUUGGCCGGACUCCCGGACUAUGAAGAUACAAGAUUGAAGACUUCGUCCCGUGUCCGGAUAGGACUUUCCUUGGCGUGGAAGGCAAGCUUGGCGAUUCGAUAUGAAGAUCUCCUCCCAUUGUAACCGACUCUGUGUAACCCUAGCCCUCUCUGAUGUCUAUAUAAACCGGAGAGUUUUAGUCCGUAGGACGAACAACAAUCAUACCAUAGGCUAGCUUCUAGGGUUUAGCCUCUCUGAUCUCGUGGUAGAUCAACUCUUGUACUACCCAUAUCAUCAAUAUUAAUCAAGCAGGAGUAGGGUUUUACCUCCAUCGAGAGGGCCCGAACCUGGGUAAAAACAUCGUGUCCCUUGUCUCCUGUUACCAUCCGCCUAGACGCACAGUUCGGGACCCCCUACCCGAGAUCCGCCGGUUUUGACACCGACACACAGCCUCCAUGGUUUUUUUCGUCUGGUUAAAUUUCGUCCGGUUUAUUUUCAUCUCACCUCCCACCACCCCUCCCAUGUUAAUUUUUAUUUCUUAGCACUUAAAACCAAAUCGUGUAUGAUACCCCUUCCAUUUAUUCGUGCUUACUUUGGCAGGUGUCGAUUCAAUUCAAUCAUGUAAAUAUUUGGACAAGAGGACUGUAGCACGACGUAAUGAAGAGCCAGAUCGUCCGUCCGCUCCCAGCUCACUUCCCGGUUC
rnacentral:lncRNA from 1 species